GGUGCGGUGGCUGAGCGGCCGAAGGCACCCGAUUUAGACUCGGGCGACUGUUACUAGCGUUAUGGUCCGUGGGUUCGAAUCCCACCCGCACCGCCU
rnacentral:tRNA from 2 species